GCUCGCGUAGCUUAUGCAAAGCAUAACACUCAAGAUGUUAAGACGGGCGCUAAAAAGCUUUGCAUGCA
rnacentral:tRNA from 1 species